rnacentral:rRNA from 1 species
GAUGAACGCUGGCGGCGUGCCUAAUACAUGCAAGUCGAGCGAACAGACGAGGAGCUUGCUCCUCUGACGUUAGCGGCGGACGGGUGAGUAACACGUGGAUAACCUACCUAUAAGACUGGGAUAACUUCGGGAAACCGGAGCUAAUAGCGGAUAAUAUAUCGAACCGCAUGGUUCAAUAGUGAAAGACGGUUUUGCUGUCACUUAUAGAUGGAUCCGCGCCGCAUUAGCUAGUUGGUAAGGUAACGGCUUACCAAGGCAACGAUGCGUAGCCGACCUGAGAGGGUGAUCGGCCACACUGGAACUGAGACACGGUCCAGACUCCUACGGGAGGCAGCAGUAGGGAAUCUUCCGCAAUGGGCGAAAGCCUGACGGAGCAACGCCGCGUGAGUGAUGAAGGUCUUCGGAUCGUAAAACUCUGUUAUUAGGGAAGAACAAAUGUGUAAGUAACUAUGCACGUCUUGACGGUACCUAAUCAGAAAGCCACGGCUAACUACGUG